rnacentral:tRNA from 1 species
GGGUCUCUAGCAAAGUCUGGUCAACUGCAGCGGACUGUAAAUCCGCCCUCAUUCGAGUUCGUAGGUUCGAAUCCUACGGGGCCCA